rnacentral:rRNA from 6 species
GAUUAGGAGACGUUGAAUACAAAACACCACCAUCGGUGCGGUCGUCCUUGGCGUCGGUUUCGGCCGGCGCGGGGGCGGCUUAGCCCGGUGGCACCGGUGAAUGACUCC